rnacentral:lncRNA from 1 species
UAGCUCAUCAUGCUGACCAUUUAUCUCCCAGGUUUUGGAAAAAGCAUUGAUGUUGACUGCUAGUUGACAAAGGGGAAGAAAUAGGUUCUUCAGGUGGCAGCAAUCAAGAAAACAAAGGCUUCCCAAAGUCACACAUGCAACCGGGCACUAUCAGGGCUGUCAGAGUUUCCAAGGACAGGGAGAGGGAGGCAGAUCCCAUGAAAUGAGGCUGGACAGGAAGUCCUCCCAACGAGGUUAUCAGGCAAAUCAAGAAGAGUGGGAAGUGCCCGAAGACAGGAGGCUGCCUGCCAGCGACUCCACGGGCUCAGGCUGUUUGUAGUUCAUGUGCAUAAUUUUUAAAGAUAGACAUAAGACAUACCCCUGAAGAUGAGUACAAGAGAGAAAGACAGGGCUCUGAAAAUACUGCCAUAGGCUCAAGUUCCAAAGUGCUGGAGUUACAAAAGUAUAAAGGACAACGCAAAGGACUUUUUAGCCAAAGAAGAACCAGAAAGGAAGAGUCCUAGGGAAUUGGAGACGUCGCGAAGGAAUGUUGUAAGGAGAAUUCAAGCCUAAAACGGUUCUGAGCACUGAUUUCAUCAAGCCGAUGGAGGCAACAACAUAUUCCUUAGGGAAAAUUAAGAUGCACAGUAUGCUUCAAGAUGAUGGCCAAGAACAACCAACUCAACGAGCCUUCAGGAAUUCAUGAUUUGAAUAUCAUGUUCAAGGCUGCCUUCUAGAUAAAGAUCAAACCAAGAAAGUCCAUGUGUCACUGCUCCGUGAAGGCUCCGGGUGGAACUCCCUGCCCCACUCCACCUUUAAGAUUUCCAGCACAGUGUCUUCACCUCCUUCAGCGCCCCUGUUUACAUGUCCAUCUCUCUCUUUAGAAGCUACAGACAUCAGCAAACUCGAGAAAAGAAGGUUUGCUCUGGGAGAUUCUACAUGUGACCUGUUUAUAUGUAAUUAUAUUAUCUAUUACUCAAGUAUUUGUCUUGUGCUGUCUAAAUUAUAAGCUUCUCAACUGUUUGCCUUGAGUGAGAUGUGCACGCUAAAGCCUCUCAAUAAAUAUUAAUUGAAUGAAUAAUUGAAAAAAACC